GAGUUUGAACCUGGCUCAGGAUAAACGCUGGCGGCGCACAUAAGACAUGCAAGUCGAACGAACUUAAUUCAUUCUUUUAGAUUGGAAGCGGUUAGUGGCGGACUGGUGAGUAACGCGUGAGCAACCUGCCUAUUAGAGGGGAAUAACAGUGAGAAAUCAUUGCUAAUACCGCAUAUGCUUACACUAUUGCAUGAUAGAGUAAGGAAAGGAGCAAUCCGCUAAUAGAUGGGCUCGCGUCUGAUUAGCUAGUUGGUGGGGUAGAAGCCUACCAAGGCGACGAUCAGUAGCCGGACUGAGAGGUUGAACGGCCACAUUGGGACUGAGAUACGGCCCAGACUCCUACGGGAGGCAGCAGUCGGGAAUAUUGCGCAAUGGAGGGAACUCUGACGCAGUGACGCCGCGUAUAGGAAGAAGGUUUUCGGAUUGUAAACUAUUGUCGUUAGGGAAGAAAAAAGACAGUACCUAAGGAGGAAGCCCCGGCUAACUAUG
rnacentral:rRNA from 1 species